AUUUAAUAACGUCUUUAUAGCGUCUUUAUAGCGUUUCUCUCCUAGGAUCUGCGCGUCUUCCACUGAAGGUACGACCGGCUGAUACAGAUGCUGGCGAAUCGGACUGAUGUGGGCCGAAGUGGAGCUGGCGCAGAUCGGGAUCCAGUACGUCAACUUUAUGGCCAUCGUCUUUGAGCUGGUGCUGCUGGGAAUUCUGUGAAGAGCGAGGGUGCAUCAGAUCAUCUCAUUGACGCAGUACCGGAGAUGAAAGCUCUUUCUGGACCGGCUGAUUGCUCUCAUCUAUUCGUGCGUUACGCCCAGAUGGACUGAACGGCAGUACACAGAGCGUUAUUUAUUCCAUCUUCAGACUGAGAUGCUGAGCUCCUGGAUGAAAUCUUCACUCUGGACGAGUCUUGUAUGCAGAACCUGAAGCCCUGGCUGCUGCACUGGAGACGCUUUUAUGGCGGAGCCGCCGACGGUUUCAUGAAAAGCUGGAAACAGAAGACAUCUAAAGGCCAACCGUGAUUAGAACCUUUAUUUAACUGUCAGGGAUGCAGGUCUGGUGGUUUAAGUGUUUUUAAUGUGUUCACAGUUUCUGUACCUGUGGAGGUGCAUCAGGACCCACGACAUGGGCGACGUGUGAGGAUACCACUGAUGUGGAAGCAUGUAUCGGGAUUUCAGAGAGACGUGCUGCCAUUAAGACGACGUCUUUACAUCAAGACAACGACGGAUGACUUCGUGAACCAGAUCUAAAUGUGUUAAAAGCUGAUGUUCUGUAAAAAUGUAAUAAAAAGA